CAACUACUCCCUCCGUUCGGAAUUACUCGUCCAAGAAAUAAAUGUAUCUAGAUGUAUUUUAGUUGUAGAUACAUCCAUUUUUGUGACAAGUAAUUCCGUUCGGUGGGAGUAUUUU
rnacentral:pre_miRNA from 1 species